GCUGCGGGUAGGCUCCUGGCCGGCUCGUGGCCGCCGCCGCGCCCCGAGCGGCGCCGGGGGGACCGCCGCAAAACGUCCGAACCGUCAGCCCCGCGGUGCGGCAAGGCGCCUGGACCGCCUGCCGCCGCCCCGCCGCCGUCGCUGCGAGGCAGCGAGGAAGCCUCGGGCGCGGCCGGCCGUUACGCCGGGCGUGAUCCGCCGCCUGCCGGGGGCAUCUCGGGGGCUUAAAAUGCCCCGGUGCCACCGCAGCGGGACUCGGGUUGCCACAGAACGCGAGGGCGCGCAUCAGCUCCCAGGCCCCGCGACCAGGGACGGGCAGAGAGCUGCCAGGCGCCGCGCGCCGUGCGCGUCCACCGCCUCCGUGCUCGCGCCGCGGGAGUUUCCGUGGGCCCUGUGAGGUGCCCCCCUGGUGCCGCUGCCGCCGCCAGCAGCGCUGGCUGGGCCGCCUCAGCGUUCACUCGGACUGAGCACUUACAGCUCUGAGCCCAAGCGAGCCUGUACCCCGCGCUGCACGACGCUCCCCGCACCAAAGAACGUGAAAGCUUCGGCUGAUUGCAGGCUGCCUUCUGCUGGGUGCCUGGGUGGGCCGAGGUCCGACAGCUACCUGUGACUGUGCUUGGAAUUUGAUUUGACACAUCUGCUACCGUUCCAAGAUGAAGAAUCACUCCCUCUUGGAGAUGAGACGAGCGCUUCUGAAGCUAUGGUCCUACCCAGAAUGUGCUUGCCAUUUCCUAAUAAACACUUGCCUGAGAGUAGACCAAUACUUAGGCCUCCCCAGAUCAUUUCAGUACAUUGUCCAGCACCUCGUGGAAACAGGCUGUACAAAAUAUGCUGCCAUCCACCAGAAAAUGAUCUUAAUACUGAGCAAUGGAGCCCAACAGGAAACUGUGCAGAUGUGAGGGGCAGAUGGGAUUUGACCUUUGCUCAGCAAAGGGAUGUCUCUGUGGCAGAGACGCUCCGAGAAGAUACCAAAGAGCAGGAUCUCAAGGAGACUGCUUCCACUGACCUGAUGAUUGCCCUUCAUCCGUACACAAAUGUGAUCUAGGGUGACUGUGCUUGUGUAUUUUUAGUAGGCUGCACCCUCUCCAGAAUUUGAUUCGAUGAAAAAAUUACCUUGAUCUGUGUUUGUCUGAUGCAAUUGAUGUAUUUAGCUGCAAAAAGUUGGAAUCUAUACAA